rnacentral:lncRNA from 1 species
UACUAACCGCAGAGAUGAUUCAAUGUGCUACACUCUAGAUUAGUCACCAUACCAUACAUCACAUAACUCCACUGACAGUGCCUGACAUACCCAUCUACUGACUUUAUUUCUGUAUAAAAUAGAUGUGUAGUCUACAUCUUGGGAGUAUCGAUCAAGUGACACAUGGAAUCAAAUGAAGCAAGUAUCUGGACCUACAUGUAAACAUUUGGUUCUUUCCCUCUCUCUUCUCUGAAUCUUUUUAUUUUCUUUUCUUUUUCUUUUGUCGAUCUUUUUUGGCAAAGUGUAGGCGAAUAGUGGGGUCAUCGGUAAUGUACCUACCCCUUUCUUUCCAACAAUGUGUGAUCAUUCUAUUAGAGUAG